rnacentral:lncRNA from 1 species
CUCAGAAACCUGUAUUGUUUCAUAUACAUAAAAUAGUUCAGAGAACAUAUUUAGAAUUUUCAUUAGUUAGGGGAAAAAAUAUUUCUCUCUCAAACGAGACCCGUAACUGUAUCAAAAAUUAAGCUCUCUUACUUAACAGGGAUUGAUUUUUUUAACAAACACGCGGUUAAUUAUGGCAUACAAUAUUAAAUUAACUCGGUGUCAUUCUAAAACCCCUCCAUUCUGUUAGGAAAAUUGAACACGUUUCUAGGAAGAAAAAAAUAAUUAUGCAUUACAACACCCACGUCUGAUAUAACGACAGAAAUUCUACCUAGAAGUGAUUGAUUGCAUUCUGGAGACGUUUAAUUGUUAUAAACUCUCGAUAUGACAGUAAUAAUCAAAGCGUACGACAGUUUGAAUCGCAUAAAUUAUAGGUUUUUCCUAAUUUAGUGACAAAAGUUUCAUACUUAAUUGUAUAAAAUAUUCAUUGUUUUCAGCGAAAGAAAAGAUGAUAAAGUAUCUAAUUUUAUUCUUUCUUUCUUUUUUUUCCUGCUCUUUAAAAUUAAUGGAGUUUACUUCAACAUUUUCCAGAGGUUAUGUAUACUGAUUCCAUCCGCAUCGGAAAGUUUGGACCACUUAAAUAAAUCUCCGAUCGAUUUUUGUAUUGAUAUACUUUUAACUCGCAUAAAUGAAAGUCUAAUGCACUUAUAAGUAUCGUUUAACAAACAUUUUGUGCUCUACCAUUAAACUUCAUACAUGCUUCACUUAAUGCGAUAAAAUGGUGGUUGCUUGCGUAUACGUUAUUCUCCUGCAAAAAUCGAUUUUUGUCGUAAGAAUAUACACGUUUCGGAUGCGUGUACGUAUUCGCAUAAAUGUACAUCGGAAAUUUUUGAAGGAAAAAUCUGCUUUUGUGUCUGUGCUAAUGCCGCAUAAAUAUAACGGAAAGCAUUAUCGGUCAAUCAUUAAUGUUGCAGAAAUACUUCACACGCUGUGUGUUCGUUACUUCAAACAAUACAAGAAAUAUUUCGAGCGAAAUUUUUGUAAUAAUUAAAAUUAAAAAACAAAAAAAAAAGUGAGAGGGGAGAGGAAUCGUUCCCAUUUAUUCAAUGCUAAUGACAUCUUUAUCCUACUGAUGAGGAUAAUUAUAUCCAGAAUAUUUUUUUCCUUCGUUGACAGCUGUAUUUUACGACAUUUUUUUAUUCUGAUUUUGUUGUUAAAUCUCACAAAAAAAAAAUUAUUGUUUCGCACAAAUGCCGAAAGUAAAUGGUUAAAAAUUAUCGAGAAUUGAUAGAUUAUCUAAUCCUCGUUUAGAGAUUCGCAACUAAAAAUAAAACAGGAUGUAAAUUUUCUCUCAGGUUAUAUACAGACGUUAGGAUUUUUCUUGGGCAUUCAAGAACGAAACUAUGUGUUUAUGAUAUGCAAAUUCUCUAUAAUUUUCAUUAAGCACAUUUCAGCAUAACACGUGAAAGGCAUAAUUUGCGUGAUGUCAACGAAAAUUCCGCAAAAAACACGCUUUUUUAAACCAUUACCGAGAUUUUUUUGUGUUGUUCUGUAGAAUUUUAAAAAUAAAUUUUACUGUUAGGAAUAUUUUUCUGCAAACUGAAAAAUCACUUUUCUGCAUCACUACUGCUUUAAAAAUUUACAUCACACUUUUUGUGUUUAUUUUAUUUUUUCUUUUUAAACCGUUUGGUCCUGACAAAAUGAUUGAGUUAUGCAGAUGCUUUACACAUUAUUUUUUUUUCCUUUCUAGAAGAAAGAGAGCGAGAGAGAGAGAUUUUCAAAUAACUGAAACGAGAAAAAUCAAUGAAGCAGCUGUCAGAAUUUCACGAUUAAAAUAUUCAAUAAAUUUUACAAAACAAUAUUUUUUUUUUUCCGGUAUUAAAAAUAGGAAGUCCGUCUUGCUAGUUUAGCGAACGUUUGUUCACAAAUUUCUGUAUUUUCUGGCAUAGAAAGAAUUCAG